GACGAACGCUGGCGGCGUGCUUAACACAUGCAAGUCGAACGGAAAGGCCCUGCUUUUGUGGGGUGCUCGAGUGGCGAACGGGUGAGUAACACGUGAGUAACCUGCCCUUGACUUUGGGAUAACUUCAGGAAACUGGGGCUAAUACCGGAUAGGAGCUCCUGCUGCAUGGUGGGGGUUGGAAAGUUUCGGCGGUUGGGGAUGGACUCGCGGCUUAUCAGCUUGUUGGUGGGGUAGUGGCUUACCAAGGCUUUGACGGGUAGCCGGCCUGGGAGGGUGACCGGACACAUUGGGACUGAGAUACGGCCCAGAAUCGUACGGGAGGCAGCAGUGGGGAAGAUUGCACAAUGGGCGGAAGCCUGAUGCAGCAACGCCGCGUGCGGGAUGACGGGCUUCGGGUUGUAAACCGCUUUCGCCUGUGACGAAGCGUGAGUGACGGUAAUGGGUAAAGAAGCACCGGCUAACUACGUG
rnacentral:rRNA from 1 species